rnacentral:rRNA from 1 species
GACAGAGGGUGCGAACGUUGUUCGGAAUUACUGGGCGUAAAGGGCUCGUAGGCGGCCAACUAAGUCGGAUGUGAAAUCCCCAGGCUUAACCUGGGAACUGCAUCCGAUACUGGAUGGCUUGAAUCCGGGAGAGGGAUGCAGAAUUCCAGGUGUAGCGGUGAAAUGCGUAGAUAUCUGGAGGAAUACCGGUGGCGAAGGCGGCAUCCUGGACCGGCAUUGACGCUGAGGAGCGAAAGCUAGGGGAGCAAACGGG